rnacentral:rRNA from 1 species
UUGAACGCUGGCGGAAUGCUUUACACAUGCAAGUCGAACGCUCCAGCAAUGGAGAGUGGCAGACGGGUGAGUAACGCGUGGGAACCUUCCCAAUGGUACGGAAUAGCUCAGGGAAACUUGAGGUAAUACCGUAUAAGCCCCUAGGGGGAAAGAUUUAUCGCCAUUGGAUGGGCCCGCGUCGGAUUAGCUAGUUGGUGAGGUAAUGGCUCACCAAGGCGACGAUCCGUAGCUGGUUUGAGAGAAUGACCAGCCACACUGGGACUGAGACACGGCCCAGACUCCUACGGGAGGCAGCAGUGGGGAAUAUUGGACAAUGGGCGCAAGCCUGAUCCAGCCAUGCCGCGUGAGUGACGAAGGCCUUAGGGUUGUAAAGCUCUUUUGGCGGGGACGAUAAUGACGGUACCCGCAGAAUAAGUCCCGGCUAACUUCGU